ensembl:lncRNA
AACACUAUUUCACCAGGAGGGUGGUGAAGCACUGAAAUGGGUUCCCUAGGGAGGUGGUGAAAUCUCCUUCCUUAGAGGUUUUUAAGGUCAGGCUUGACAAAGCCCUGGCUGGGAUGAAUUAGUUGGGAUUGGAUUCUGCUUUGAGCAGGGGGUUGGACUAGAUACCUCCUGAGGUCUGUUCCAACCCUGAUAUUCUAUGAUUCUAUGACUCUAUGAAAACCCGGCCCUGGAGCAAACGCUCCCUUCCUGGCAGCCCAGAUGGGAGUGUCAUGCUGACUUUUAACGGGCCACUAGGCAGGGACAUGAGGGGUAGGUGGGGCAGGAAACGGGCGAUUUAUUGCGGGAUUCUUUCUCAGGGCUCACAUUUGCUCUCUUGGGUGUGGCUGCACCUGGCUAGGCUGGUUCUUGUCCUAUUCCUCUUUGCAGGCUGGGGGCGGGCCUGGGGGCCGUCUCUGUGUGGUGGAUAAAGGGCACUGGAUCUGCGAAGAAGAAGAGACCGGGAAAGGCAGAGCGGAGGAGCGGAGGAUCCUGGAGCAUCUAGUUUCUCAGGGGAGGAAGACGGCGAAAGGCGGAAAGGAGGGAGAGAUCCGGGGGUCUCUGAUACUCUGCGAGGGAAGAGGGAAGGUGAAAGGCAGAAGGAAAAGAGUGACCGUUGUGGGUUUGCUCAGCCGAGCAGAGGAAGGACGUGACGGGCAGAGGGGAGAAGAGCAAACAUCCUGAAUUUGCCCAGCGGACCCCAGGGCCUGAGGCAGCAGGGGGGGAAAGGAGAGCGGGAAAGGCGGCUCAGAGGGGAGAACGCCCCAAGUCGUCUCAGGAAAUACAGCAAGCAGGUGCCGGAGGAGCGGGAGAACGGCCCGGAGGAGGAGAGGGGAGGCCUGGAAAUUAGAGGGCUCGGAGACACGCCCCGAGGGAGCGGCAGACCGGGAAAGGCGCCCAGGAGGAGUGCGGCACCAUGAGCUACCCAGGCUAUGAUAAAGGCCCCCAGCCCUCCGCCCCUGCUCAGCCCCCCCCAUACUCCAACAUGCCACCUUAUGGGGCCCCUCCCCCGCUACUGCCCUCCGGCGGGCAAUUCCCCACCGCAAGCUACGGGGCAGCCCCCGGAAUGCCCCCCAACCCACAGGGCUAUUACCCCCCGUACAACGAGGACCCCAACCGGGGCCAGAUGGGCUAUGCCCCACAGCAGGUCAUCCUGGUCUCCCCGCCUCCUGCCAAUGAGGCUGACUACCUGGGCUACUCCAUCUUCACCCUUCUCUGCUGCUGCCUGCCCCUGGGCAUCGUGGCGCUGGUGUAUUCCAUCCAGACUCGGGAUGCCAACCGCUCUGGCAACACUGCCCAGGCGCAGCGGAGUUCCCGGAUGGCCCGGAUUUUCAACAACACGGCCCUGGGGGUGGGGAUUGUGGUGCUGAUCGUGUGGGUCGCCAUCGUGAUUGCCAUCAGCCUCUCAGCCUCUAGACACCACUGAUCCUUCCGCCCUGCCCCCACUCCCCAACCCCCAGCUCUGAGCCGGUUUUCAACACCUCCCUGCAUCCACACACACAGACCCGCAUGCACCACAACACAACCAUCUCCUCAGCCCACCCACACACUCACUA